rnacentral:lncRNA from 1 species
UGCUUGUUAACCGUUUAUCUCAACUAGAAGCGCUGGGGGUCUAGUGGUGAAGAUUCAGGACUCUCACCACUGCAGCCCGGGUUCACUCCCGGUCAGGGAACCAGAUCAUCCCUCUGUGGGUUGUCAUUCUGUGGUGGCUGAAUGUUGCUGUGAUGCAGAAAGCUAUGCCACGGGUACUUCAAAUGCCAGAAGGGUCACCCUUGGUGGACAGGCUUCAGCAGAGCUUCCAGACUAAGACGGGCUCCGAAGAAGGAUCUGGCCACCCACUUCCCAAGAAAUUGGCCAUGAAAACCCUGCAAAUAGCAGCAACGUAUUGUCUGCUAGAGUGCCCGAAGAUCCUUCUAAACGCAGGUGGGGAGCUGACUCAGGCAAUGGGACUUUAACAUAUGGAGACCAGGGGCCGGCCUCGUGGCCAGGUGGUUGAGUUUGUGCGCUCUGCUGUGGCGGCCCGGGAUUUCACCAGUUCGAAUCAUGGGCGCGGACAUGGCACCGCUCAUCAACCCAUGCUGAGGCGGCAUCCCACACGCCACAACUAGAAGGACCCACAACUAAAAAUAUACAACUCUGUACCAGGGGGCUUUGGGAGAAAAAGAAAAGAUAAAAUCUUAAAAAAAUGAAUAAAUAAAAUAAAAUAUGGAGACCAAGAGCAAAGUGUUUCUCACCUUUGACAAAGUGCGGGGCCUGAACAUGAGAAUGAGCAGGGCAGAGAAAGCUGAAGUCCAAAUCAGCCAUCAGCCGCCUCCCCGGCCGCCACACCCAAGGACCCAGAAGAGGAUUUACAUAGGAGCUCAGACCACGUGCUCCAAUUCACGGCUUGCCUUUAGGGCUAAUAAAUGGGCUGGGAAGAGAACUGAUGCCAAAAUCCUCCUCCUUCAAACCCAGGCUGGACAGCCACUGGCCCCAGAUCUGCGAAAGGGACCUUGUGAGUCAGAUGGAGGGAUGGCUGAGUCAGUGGGCCUCACGCCUGGCUGCACACCAGAGUCUCCUGGACAUUCUAAAGCCCUACCUCAUGAGUGGAAUCUAUGCAGAUGGUGCCCGGGAAUCUGUAUGUUUAAAGAGCUACCAGCCGCUCCUCAGACCAACACUUGGUAACCAACACGCCGAGAAGACCCCUAAGGGCACUUCCGCCCCAUGACUGUGGGACAGUGAGUGGGGCUUGCCCUAAGGGAGUUUUAAGGAUAGCGGAAGUAUAUUGGGUCGUCUGUUUGGGAAGGUGCUCU